GGUCCCCAGACUGUCCCCUCCUCCCCCCAGCCCGCACCUCCCUCCCUCCUCUGCUGCCGGGCGACCGCUCCCCCCCACCACUUGCUUUCGCUCUGGUUUUUAAGGUACGUUGAUGUGCGUAGAAUCACAAUGGGUGACCCGGGUCGUUUCCUGCUCCUGCCACUGGAGGGGACACCCGACUGCAAUUCAGUGAGGUGCUUCAAGUCGCGGCUGUGGAGGGGUGCCUCUUGUCUCCCAGGAUCGCACUUUAAGAUUCAAGAGUAGCUGUUGUUACUUUCGGGGGCGUCUAGAAGCGCUGGCUCCUGCACAAGCUCCAUUAUUUGUUUUCGGCAACGCAUUGAUGCUAUAGGUAUACCUUCAGUGCCCACUAGGCACCAGAUGCGACGCCGGAUGCGAUACUGAGCAGCCUCGAGAAUGCGCUGUUGAACAAGACAAAGUUUCUGUGCCUUGAAGUUUAAGUCUGCUCCAGGGGCCACGACAAGAUGCCAUAGGCUGAGCGGCUUGCAUUUUUGUUUUCUCAUGGCUCUGGAGGCUGGGAGGCCAAGAUCAAGGACAUCAGGAUUUGUGUCCGUCAAUAGUUGCAGCCUCCGCCUCAUCCAACAUUCCCUUCAGAAGAACGAGGUGCCCAGGAGGAGAGCAGGUUAUCAGGCACAACUGAGGGAUGCAGAAAGGCCCAAGAGCACCCAGAAGAAGGGAAAGAAGACCCGCUCCCUCCUGUGGGUCCUUCCGCACAGUGAAAGGCCUUGGAGACGCUGCUGCUCUUCAGACACUUGGAGGUCAAGUUGGGCCCACUUCUGUGUUUCAAGCAUUUUGCCUACUAUUGUCCCACUUGCACGAAUAAAUUGAUUUCUGACGGGAUGAAGACUUGGCCAAGAAAAGGGGAGAGAGGCUGGUCACAGAGGAGAUCUGAGUGGGCAGUGAAGAUAAGGAUGUUCUAAUUACCCUCAUUUCCAGACUCCGAGAUGGAAGGCUGCUCCUAGCCAGAGCACUAAGUGUUGUCAAAUUACCCGAAGCAUUCAAAAGAAUAUGCCAUUUCAGCGA